rnacentral:rRNA from 1 species
AGUUUGAUCAUGGCUCAGAAUGAACGUUGGCGGCGUGGAUUAGGCAUGCAAGUCGGACGGGCCGCAAGGCCAGUGGCGUAAGGGUGAGUAAGGCGACGGCAAUCAUCCCCACGGUUGGGUAUAGCCGCGAGAAAUCGCGGGUAAUCCCCAGCGACGCACGGUGUCGGCAUCGACGCCGUGCCAAAGGCUCGCCGCCGUGGGACGAGCCGUCGUGGUAUUAGGUUGUUGGCGGGGUAAUGGCCCACCAAGCCUGCGAUGCCUACCGGGUGUGCGAGCAUGGCCCGGCACACUGGGACUGAGACACUGCCCAGACUCCUACGGGAGGCUGCAGUCGAGAAUCUUCGGCAAUGGGCGCAAGCCUGACCGAGCGACGCCGCGUGGAGGACGAAGGCCUUCGGGUUGUAAACUCCUGUCGAGGGGAAGGAAGGGGCCGCAAGGCCCUUGACCGCUCCCUGGAGGAAGCACGGGCUAAGUUCGUGCCAGCAGCCGCGGUAAGACGAACCGUGCGAACGUUAUUCGGAAUCACUGGGCUUAAAGCGCGUGUAGGCGGGGCGGUGCGUCGGUCGUUGAAAUCCCCCGGCUCAACCGGGGAAGUGGCGCCGAUAC